rnacentral:tRNA from 1 species
GCGACCAUAGCUCAGCUGGUUAGAGCGCCGGUUUGUGGUACCGGAGGUCGUGGGUUCGAGCCCCAUUGGUCGCCCCA